rnacentral:piRNA from 1 species
UGCUAGGGUCACCUGUACCCCAGGCUGGAG